rnacentral:rRNA from 1 species
GAUGAACGCUGGCGGCGUGCCUAACACAUGCAAGUCGAGCGGCAGCGAGGGGUUCUUGCACCCUGUCGGCGAGCGGCGGACGGCUGAGUAACGCGUGGGAACGUGCCCCAAAGUGAGGAAUAACUGCCCGAAAGGGUAGCUAAUACCGCAUAUUAUCUUCGCAUCAAAUGAUUUAUCCGCUUUGGGAGCGGCUCGCGUCGGAUUAGGUCGGUGGUGAGGUAAUGGCUCACCAAUCCGAAGAUCCGUUGGUGGGCUGGGAGGAUGACCAACCAGACUGGCAAGGAGACACCGAGAAGACUCCUACGGGAAGCAGGAGGGAAGGAUCAGCCACAAGGGGAGAAAGGAUGAAGGAGCAACGCGGCGGGCAGGAAGAAGGCCUUCGGGUUGUAAACUGCUUUUAUAAGUGAGGAAUAUGACGGUAACUUAUGAAUAAGGAUCGGCUAACUGCGUG